GUGCUUGCUUUGGCAGCACAUAUACUAAAAUUGGAUCGAUACAGAGAAGAUUAGCAUGGCCCCUGCGAAAGGAUGACACGCAAA
rnacentral:snRNA from 8 species